rnacentral:rRNA from 1 species
UCGAGGGGCAGCGGGGGUAGCAAUACCUGCCGGCGACCGGCAAACGGGUGCGGAACACGUACACAACCUUCCUUUUAGUGGGGGAUAGCCCAGAGAAAUUUGGAUUAAUACCCCGUAAUAUAAUUGAGUGGCAUCACUUGGUUAUUAAAGCUCCGGCGCUAGAAGAUGGGUGUGCGUCUGAUUAGGUAGUUGGUAGGGGUAACGGCCCACCAAGCCAGCGAUCAGUAACUGGUGUGAGAGCACGACCAGUCACACGGGCACUGAGACACGGGCCCGACUCCUACGGGAGGCAGCAGUAAGGAAUAUUGGUCAAUGGACGCAAGUCUGAACCAGCCAUGCCGCGUGGAGGAUGAAGGUCCUCUGGAUUGUAAACUUCUUUUAUCUGGGAAGAAAUGCAUCUUUUCUAAGGUGUUUGACGGUACCAGAUGAAUAAGCACCGGCUAACUCCGUGCCAGCAGCCGCG